UGUAGCUUCAUUUUCUAAUUUUCCGAUCUUGUUAAAAUGUCAAACGGUUUGUGCCAGAGUAGGUAGCGACAAUAACAACAGAAAGCUGCGGAUUGAGAGGGAUUCACCAAUGUACUGGUAAUGUAUGUAAAGUAAUGUAUGUAAAGUAAUGUAUGUAAAGUAAUGUAUGUAAAGUAAUGUGUGUAACCUGAGUAUCAGGCCCUCGGUAUUGAAGAGAACCUGACACAAUUCGCCUCUACGGGCUUUCCACCCCCAGAAUAUAAGCCAAUUAAAAUUAUUUCCGGUCGUAGCAUAUUUCCGGUUGUCCGCUACAUGUAUGUAAAAUUGUAAAUACGCAAAUUUCG